rnacentral:lncRNA from 1 species
CACUAAUAUCACCAUCCAGUAGGUUCUACAUCACUACACUGACAUCACCAUCCAGUAGGUUCUACAUCACUAAUAUCACCACCCAGCAGGUUCUACAUCACUAAUAUCACCAUCCAGUAGGUUCUACAUCACUAAUAUCACCACCCAGUAGGUUCUACAUCACUAAUAUCACCAUCCAGUAGGUUCUACAUCACUAAUAUCCCCAUCCAGUAGGUUCUACAUCACUAAUAUCACCAUCCAGUAGGUUCUACAUCACUACACUGACAUCACCAUCCAGUAGGUUCUACAUCACUAAUAUCACCAUCCAGCAGGUUCU